CCUACGGGAGGCUGCAGUGAGGAAUAUUGGUCAAUGGGCGCGAGCCUGAACCAGCCAAGUAGCGUGAAGGAUGACUGCCCUACGUGUUGUAAACUUCUUUUAUAAAGGAAUAAAGUGAGGCACGUGUGCCUUUUUGCAUGUACUUUAUGAAUAAGGAUCGGCUAACUCCGUGCCAGCAGCCGCGGUAAUACGGAGGAUCCGAGCGUUAUCCGGAUUUAUUGGGUUUAAAGGGAGCGUAGAUGGGUUGUUAAGUCAGAUGUGAAAGUUUGGGGCUUAACCGUAAAAUUGCAAUUGAUACUGGCAACCUUGAGUGCAGUUGAGGUAGGCGGAAUUCGUGGUGUAGCGGUGAAAUGCUUAGAUAUCACGAAGAACACCGAUUGCGAAGGCAGCUUACUAAACUGCCACUGACAUUGAUGCUCGAAAGUGUGGGUAUCAAACAGGAUUAGAUACCCCUGUAGUC
rnacentral:rRNA from 1 species